rnacentral:rRNA from 1 species
GAUGAACGCUGGCGGCGUGCCUAAUACAUGCAAGUAGAACGCUGAAGGAAGGAGCUUGCUCUUUCCGGAUGAGUUGCGAACGGGUGAGUAACGCGUAGGUAACCUGCCUGGUAGCGGGGGGUAACUAUUGGAAACGAUAGCUAAUACCGCAUAACAGUAGAUGUUGCAUGAUAUCUACUUAAAAGGUGCAAUUGCACCACUACCAGAUGGACCUGCGUUGUAUUAGCUAGUUGGUGAGGUAACGGCUCACCAAGGCGACGAUACAUAGCCGACCUGAGAGGGUGAUCGGCCACACUGGGACUGAGACACGGCCCAGACUCCUACGGGAGGCAGCAGUAGGGAAUCUUCGGCAAUGGACGGAAGUCUGACCGAGCAACGCCGCGUGAGUGAAGAAGGUUUUCGGAUCGUAAAGCUCUGUUGUAAGAGAAGAACGAGUGUGAGAGUGGAAAGUUCACACUGUGACGGUAUCUUACCAGAAAGGGACGGCUAACUACGUG